rnacentral:rRNA from 1 species
GAUGAACGCUGGCGGCGUGCCUAAUACAUGCAAGUCGAGCGAACAGAUUAUGAUCUUGCUCCUCUUACUUUUUCGGCUGACGGGUGAGUCACACUUUUAUAACCUUCCUUUAAUUCUUGUAUAACUUCGUGAAUCCUUAGCUCAUACCCGUUAAUUUUUUGAACCUCAUUGUUCAAUUGUUUAAUACUGUUUUUCUGUUUCUUAUCGAUUUUUCCGCGCCGCAUUAUCUAGUUGGUAAGGUAACGGCUUACCAAGGCAACGAUGCGUAGCCGACCUGAGAGGGUGAUCGGCCACACUGGAACUGAGACACGGACCAGACUCCUACGGGAGGCAGCAGUAGGGAAUAUUCCGCAAUGGGCGAAAGCAUGACGGAGCAACGCCGCGUGAGUGAUGAAGGUCUUCGGAUCGUAAAACUCUGUUAUUAGGGAAGAACAAAUGUGUAAGUAAAUAUGCACGUCUUGACGGUACCUAAUCAGAAAGCCACGGCUAACUACGUG